rnacentral:lncRNA from 10 species
GAAGUUGGGCAUCGUGUGGGGCUGGAAGCUGUGGCUGCAGGAAGCCAGGGGUGAUGGCCUUCCUGCAGCCGUCUCUCGAGCCCCGAACUUGCGGGAAGAAAGGACUGCCCCCUUCCAACCCGUUCGGGUUGGUUUGCGCUGGAACGCCACGCUUUUCAAAGUGUCUGAGUGAUAGGUACUUUCUAAAUAUGUACAGCGAUGGCCUGAUAAGCAACUAAGCGUCUGGCUUCGCGGGUUCAUGCCCGAGGCUGUGCGGUCGGGGGAGGCUGGGGGCUCAGCCGAAACCUCAGCUCCUCCUUACAGGCCUGGUUUGGAAACGGGCUGUACACUGCUGGGGGCCCCACUUUCCAAUGUUUACUUCUGAGAUUGGAAGAAGAAGACAAGAAACACCUCCUCACCCCCUACCCUCUGCCUCCACGCCCGCGACUCAGCCCAGGUGACCCAAACGGCAGAGUCAACUUGGCGCAACCGGAGCGUCCCCAUCGCGCCGGCCACCCCCAGCCCCCUUCGCCCCUCGCUUGGCCCCACAAUGCGCCGUUGUGCCGCGCCUGCCGUCAGGCCGGGGAUUUGGAGCAGGGAUGGGGGGAAUAUUCGUCAGAUAUUUAAAACAGAGCCGAGAGAACAAAGCAGGCCUUUGUGCAGCAGGGCGGCCCGGGAGCUGGGAGCCGCCGGCCCCCAAGCACUGUGCUGGGCCAGGAGAGUGCGCAUGCGCGCGGCGACCUGUGCGCUCGGGUUCUGUGCCGGCUUUUACCCCAGCUGAAUAACCUGGUGGUCACAAGAAAGCAAAGGGAUUUUUAUGUGACAUCAUCUUGGCAAGAAGCUCCCUUACCAACCUUGACCUCCAGGUCUCCAUGGCAACUGCUGCUGGGACAUCAUUGGCACCAGAUUGUGUCCCUUAAAGGCCACACUGCAGCAAGGGCAGAUAAACAAUUUCAUGGCAACAGUCACGUAGCAAUCUCAUUCUUAAAUGUGGGCUGGUUAGUUAGGAUGAUGUAAGUGGUUUUUUCCACUCUCUUCCGCAUUCUGACUCCAGAAUUCUGGGCCUAGGACAUAGUCAAAGAAUGUACCUUGGGGUAUGAGUGACUUGCUUGACCAACAGAAUAUGCUAGGAGCAACAUUCUGGAACUUCCAAGGCUUGGUUGUAAGAAGCUUUGCAAUAUCUGCCUGGAUCUCUUAGAACCUUCAAUAUGGGACACUUGCUCUAGAAAUCAGCCACCAUCCUGUGAGAAGUCCAAGCCACAGAGUGAGGCCAGAAAUAGUUGCUGCAGUCAAGAGCCCCAGCUGAGCUCUCAGCCAACAUUCAGCAUCACUGCCAGCCAUGUGAGUGAGUGAUGGUGACCUUGGAUGUCCAGCUCAGUAGAACCUUCAGAUGAUUUCAGCCCUAGCCGUUCCAACUGCAAGACAUCCUGAGUGAGCUGAGCCCAGUCAACAGAGAUGUGAGAGAUAAAAAUGCAUUGUUUUGAGACACUAAGUUUUAGAGUGUCUGUUGUGUAGCAGUAGGUAGUUCAAGAGGAAUGAAAUGCUAGAUGGGGUAUGGAAGAUAGGAGAGGACCUCCUGAUAGCUCAGCUACUUUGAAAGGCUUUAUUUAUCAGGAUUUUUUGCCCCUGCAUCCCACCAACACCAUCCCUGCUUUCUGAGCUGUGCCUGGCACACUGCACCACACAAACCUUGCACUGCUCACUAACUGUGCCAUGUAUAUAAGCCUCCUCAGCCCGAUGGUGGACACCUUGAAGAUAGGGACCUAUAUGAUUUGAUUCCUACCCUCCUUAGCACUGACAGAUUUGUCAAGCUGUUCCAGUGGAUAAAUACGGGGGAUAACUGCUGGAACAGCAUCUUGAGGUGUUUAUAUGGCUUGGCUUCUGAUCUUUGACAUUUGAUAACUGAUGAACAUGCUAUUUGGGCCCACCCAGGAGCCAGCCACACCAUGGGGGAGUCUGAACCUCACCCACACUGUGGCCACUCAGGGGAAGGAGACCAGGGCCAAGAACGCAGUUGCUAACCUCCUGCUUAGAUUUGCUUCUUGCGGGGCAGCCCUGGAAACCCAAAGAAGAGCUAAAACUGUGUGGAUGAGAGAAAACCUUCAGAACCCAUUCAUAGAGAUACCAGGAGCAGCUGAGAACCCAUUGUAGGAAGGACACAUGUUCAAGACCUCCCCCAUCUGCCCAUCUAGGGACAUGGAUGUUUAACAUGCUAGGGUCAGAAGUGGGAACAUAGGUCAGCUUGAGUAGAACCUGGUGCCUGUGCAGGAACCCUGCCUUCUGUGGGCCCAGCUACUCGGGAGGCCAAAGAGGGAGGAUGGCUUGGGUCUGGGAGGUCGAGGCUGCAGUGAGCUAUGUUUGCACCACUGCACUACAGCCUGGGCAACAGAGUGAGACCCUGUUUCAUAAAAAAUAAAUAAAAAUAGAAAGCCUGGCGAGCCCAGUGUCUACUCAGAGCUUAGGAGAGAGGGAGGAGAAAAGCAGGAUGAGGGCAGCUUGGGAGGCGGUCCUUCAUUCUGCCAAUAAACAUUAUUUUGUGAAUCAGGCCUGGCUUGAGGCACAGCGUAUGCAGAAAAGUUCAAGGGAGACAGAGUCCCUGCUCUCAGGUAAAAUGCCUGGAGGAGUUGUAGCUCCGAUACACAUCUCACGACAUGGGCAGAGCUUGGCUGACCAUGGGUGUAGGGGAGCUAUGGCCUUCCCUCCUCAUUAUAUCCCAGUCUUCCAACUUUGUGAAAGACCUGGAAUUCCCAUGCUAUAAGGUGGUAUGAGUGUGGGCACUAGGGCUGGGACUAGUCCAGGUCCCAGCUCCACCACUUAUUGGCUGUGUGACCUCGUGCAAGCUACUUAAACUCUCUGAACCUUUAGCAUCUUAUCAGUAAAAAUAAGAACAGUAACAGUUCUUCAUCUCAGGGUUGUCUGAGGAUUUCAUAAGAUCCUCCUGGCAAAGUGACCCCUUAGCUCCAUGUGUGGCACCUGCAGGCGCUUCGGAACCACCGGCUCCUAUCCUAUGUACUCCCACGAGGCAUGGGAGGGCUCUGGAUAUGAAAUUAUCUGCAAGGUCCAAGUAACUUUUGCUUAGAAAAAACAAAAGGGAUGAUGAGGGAAGAAGUCUCACUUAGGAACGAAAUUGCCUGGGGCCCUGUUUCCUGAGAGGAUCGCGCAGGAGUCAUAUGACAUUGGUCUGACUUUCCUGAACUGCCCACGCAUGCGCUGAGUUUCAACAGCACCGAGAACCUAGGCUUCUCUUCCUGAAACUUAGGAGAAGCUUGGGCUUCCCUCUGGCCAGUCCAGAGGUGGUUCCCAGGUAAUUGCCUGGUCCAAGAGCCACAGAGGAUUUGGAAUUAUGAGGGUAGGGAACUGCGGUUAGGGGGAUCCCAGAGUCUCAGGAAGCAUUUCAGUUCCAUCCCUUGACCCCACUUCAUGCUCUGGCAUAUCGAGGGCCCGGAAGUGCUAGGAGAGCUGUGAUUGGCAGGCCUCACUCCCUGCCCACCUUCCCUCUUAGCUUCCCCAGAACCAUAGCCCCCUUUAGACUGGGCAUAUGGGCAGAUAACAAAGGAUAUCAUGCUGGGGACGUAUUUCUGAGAGGGGGUGACUGCCCUUGCCCCUAAGUAUGAGUUGCCUUUUCCAAAUAUCCCCACAAUGUAAAGUGAUCGGCAAAGGGGACCACAGCCCUUGGUUCUACACCCAUCAAACAUGUGCUGAAAUCAGAUUCUUUUCUAAGCAACACAUCCAUAUUAUGCCACCAUUCAGACGAAACCAAGAGCUAAUCAUCCUGAGUAUGAGAUGUGUUCUCUGGUGAGAUGCCUGGACCUCCACAGGGGAGGUUGUUCUCUUGAGAAAAUGCCGACUUCCCCUCGUCUUUCAGAGGCCCCCUUCCUGACCAAAAGGCUCAAGGGUGCGUGUUGGAGAGGGAAGGGAAAGAAGAUGCUUGUUGCUGUUCAUUACGGACAGGUUCCCCAAGAGUGACACCGUACUGUGGGUAUGUUUUGAGUUCUGGGAGAGUUUCAGGGCAUUUUAUAGCUGGGCCAACUUUCCCUGGGACUGAGAAGUAGGGCUUGGAAAUUAAGGCAGUCCUGGGGGAGGGAACAGCUGGUCAGUCUGCCCAUAAUCCUGCCCAGAAACCUGACAGCAAACAGCCCUGGAUUUGCUCAUUUGAAUGCUUUAGGGGAAUUUCCAAGAACCCUUCACCCUCUUAUGAGAAAAAGAAGGUAGGUCCGUGGUGCUAUUCUCCCCUUGCCUCCCGUGAGCUUGGGUCUGUGGUUAGGACAUCUGGGCACAGGAAGUAUUAACCUGUCUCCGCUUUCAGAUCUGAAUCCAGUACUCAGCUUCAGGAGGAGAGAGACCAUGCCUGCAGGAAUCAAAAUGAAUCAGCACCAAUCCUGACCCAAGAUGAUAUGGGUUGACUGAAUCAGUUGUUCCUCAUCAAGUAUACUGGAAGUCAGAAUGGCUCCUCCUCCAUGAUGCCCCUGUACUUAGAGCAUCUGGCGUCUGUGAAGGGUCUAAUCCCAAGUGAGGAUUCUGCUCCUGAGACAGCCAGGACCAGACGAUUGCCAAGGUCCCUCCAGCCUAAAGGCAGUGACUCUAGAACAGAUGGGGCUGGAUGGUAACAGGGUAACUGGAGCUCAGGAAUGGAGGCCAGGUUAGAGGCAUGCUUGCCCAGUCAUUCCAGGUGCCCAGGUUCCAGGCUUAUCCCUCUUUAGGAGAGAAGUAAAGACAUGAAGAGGAACCCUCUGUGGGCCUGUGCUGACCCAUCUGCCACCCCCAACCAGAGGCAUGAGUGACAUGGGAAAGGGGAGUGGCGUUGGGGCUGCUUGGCCUGCCUCCUGCACCCCAAAGCUCUGGGUUCAAUUACACUCAUUGUCACUGUGCACAGAACCCACGUCACCACUGAGGAGAUCAGCUGGGCCCUGGCUGCUGACAGCUUGUUUUAUUCUUGCUAAGCCACUACAUCUUGGCUUUGUUGUUAUGUUUCCAAUAGCAACAGGAGAAAAGACAACUUUUUCUGCUUUGGGAGCUUAUUUUUUUCUCCCGUAGGAGAAAGCUCCAGCCUGAAGACUUGAUGUCCUUGGGGCCCCAAUGUGGCCUUAGCCCAGACCCUGGGGGCCAGUAAGGAGAAGUCCAGCUUAGCUCUGCCCCAGGGAAACAGCGGGUAGCUGAAGUCAUGGAGGAUCCAGGAGCCAGGAGCUAUCAACUCUUCUGGAAUUGGGCUCAGCUGCCCUUUUUAGUUUUGAAUGGCUACAAAAUAUCCACAGUGGCUUGGGUAGGCCUAAAGCAUAGACAGUGGAGAAAGGAAAAGGAGAGAAAAAAGGAACUUAAGAGUAGAGGAGAAAGGAGUGGGAGAGAAUGGCAAGAGAAGAAAGGUGGCUGUGGAGAAGUGCAGUGACACCAUCAGCACCCUUGGGCAUCACUUGGCAUUUGAAGCCAAAGAGGAUGACCCCACAGGCCUGGAUGAAAAAUAUAGAGGUUCUCUCUGGCAAGGGGCUUUUGCUUUCCAUUGAGAAGGAGCUGCCAUCAUGAAUGGAUGGAUGGAUGCAUGGACAGGUGGGUGGAUGGAUGAAUGAAACAAUAAGCGUGGUAUUCCCAGGAUUGAAUGAAUGAUAAAGGAAGGAAAAAUAAGUGAGAAGUGAGAGAAUCCAAUGAGGGGUUAAGCCAUCUUAGGCAGGGAUUGCCAAGGAGUGGUUUGGGAGGGCCUUGCCCCGUCCCCUCCAGUCUCCAUUGGCUUCCCCUAAAGUCUUUCUAAGUAAAUAAACAUGCAAUCUAAGUGGAAAAAUAGAGUGUUUACUAUACAAAACAGCCUGAUGAAAACCCCCUGGCUCCUGUAUCAGCCAAUAUUCCAUCCAUAGGUUCUCCUUUACAGAAACUCCCGAGCUGCCACUCAUCAACUACAAGGCAUUGUGUCUGCUUUUUCCAAAUCCCAUCCCAGACCAAUUGUAUUCAGGCUGUGGACAGACAGGUGAGGACCUGAAACAUGAUUAAAGGAUAUAGGGAAAAUAAACUUUAGAUUCACUUGAGAAUAGGAAGAGUUAAAGGGCCUUAAGCCUUUCAGUCACUCCUACUUAGGGAUUUGGGGUAUUAAUUAACAAUAGCAAAUCAUUGGGUAGAUUGUCUCUGCUCUCCCUUCAGUAAAAAAUGUCAGGUAUAGGCAUUUCUUCCUAUGCCCAGUAGGAAUAGUUCACUGGGGCCAGGAUCAAGGGUUAGGGGUCAAAGGACUAUACUCUCUAAGCCUUGAACCAAUAAUGUGAGCAGCUAGUGCAGAAGUGAGCAAGGCUCUUCUUUCAUGGAAGGUUCUUAUCAGAAACCAGAGCUGUCUGGAGGGACACAGUGAGUCAGAUUACAACAGCUACCCAUGGUGGGGACAGGUCAGAAGGGGUCACGCAGAGGCUGUAGGGAAGGUUGCUAUUCUUAGGCCCCUACUAUCUCAGGCGUCUGCUGACUCACUUGGGAAUCUCUGGACUCCUGGGUAGAUCCAGUCCAAUAACCUGCCUAGUUCUUGGGUAAGCCUGUAUUGCCUUUAAUGAUAAUAAAUAACAAGAAAAUAUAGACUUUUUCUCUAAAAGAAAGAUGCAAUAUCAUGUUUAAGCCUAUGCAAGAGGAAGGGUAAGGAGGUCUGAUUCCCAGAGAAGCAUCAAUCUUACCUCAGAUCUUGGAAAGACUCCUGGAAGGAAAGGGAGAGAGAGAGAGGCUAACCCCGGGGUAGUGGCCCUGGAGGCUUUGGUACUGAGUCACAACAUGGGUAGGGGAAAGGUACAUUAUAUUUGGGGCAAGGAUCAAGUGAAAGUCUAGGAAAAACAUCAACCUUGGAGACUGAAUAGGCUUGCCACAUUAGAAGCCUCAAAAGGGGACUUAAGUGUCCCUUUGAUUAAGGAGAAGACAGAAAAGGUGCACUAUGCAGAAAAUAACCUCCUCAGGAAGGCAAGUACGUUUAAUGGGUUUUCACAGAAAGGUGGGAGACCAUUUCAUUUUCCCUUUCUUAGGACAGGGAUCUGGGGAUGUUUGCCUGAGAGGUUAUAUGUUCGUUGUGGCCUAAUGUCUUUCAGAGUAGACUGUCACCAACUCUUUGACUCCUCCUGCUCAUGGAUUCCUUCCACCAUACCUUUGGUUUCCAUUUCUAAAUGUGCUUCAGCCUGGGGGAGGCUGCAGUAAAUGACUCUGUCUAACUUGCUUCCUUGACCUUAGGACUAACCUUUUAAAACUCAUGACUUUUCCUUCUUUAUUUAAAAUCUCUAUCUUUUAACUUUUUUUUUUCUUUUUUUUUUUGAGAUGGAGUCUCACUCUGUCACCCAGGCUGGAAUGCAGUGGUGCGAUCUCACUCACUGCAAGCUCCACCUCCCAGGUUCACGCCAUUCUCCUGCCUCAGCCUCCUGAGUAGCUGGGACUACAGGCGCCUGGAUAAUUUUUUUGUAUUUUUAGUAGAGAUGGGGUUUCACCGUGUUAGCGAGGAUGGUCUCGAUCUCUGGACCUCGUGAUCCACCCACCUCAGCCUCCCAAAGUGCUGGGAUUACAGGCGUGAGCCACCACGCCCAGCCUUUUAACUUUUUAAUUUACUCAUUCUAUUGAUUUGUCUUUCUAGUUAAAAAAUAAAAAAAUAAAUCUUCUCCAGGGAGCAUGUGUCAGGAGGGAAAAGAGUCCCUUGUGUGUUAAGCCCUACUGGCUAGGGUUAAAAGCUGAGUUGCUUGUGUGAACUUGACCUUGAGCAUGAUCCCCAAAUGAUAGUUGUCUCUACGUGAGUGGUCUUUAUCUGGCCUCCUCCUCUCUUAGCACUGACCAGGCUAUAUCUGUGGCUAAGACCUAGAGGAAAAGACUUGGGUUAGCCUGUGAAGCAGAGCAGCUGAGCUAGGAAUUCUAAGAAUGGGGGACAAAAGAAAAAAAAAGGUAGGGAAGGUGGAGGGGGCACUUCUUUCCUCAGGUCUGCUGUUAUGGUACAGCCUCCUGAAUUUGAGUUUCUCAAGUAGUCAGGGCUAGGCUCAAGUUGUCAGGGCUAGGCUAAGGGCAAACUGAGGCUAGAGUCAGUAAAGUGAUCUGCCUAUGGUCUUACAAUUACUGGGCAGUAGAUGGUUUACAUUUAGAGGCAGCAUCAACAACCCUGUAGUAUCAGUUAGAAUUCUGGUGGGGAAAAAGAGGAGAAUUUAAUGAAGGGAUUAUUUAUCAAGCUAUGGACAGGAUUUAGGGGAACUAACAAAGGAAGGUGCAAUACUUUAAGCUUAAUCACAUUGAAGAGGCAUUACCCUCCCUAAAUCCAAAGGGUCAAGAGGAAGGAAUAGUUAGGAGAAUCCACAGAGAGUACCUGUAAGGAGAGGGCCUCCCAAUAGGAUGGUGACAGUGCAACUUUUGGUAGAGGGGCAAAACUAAUUCACAGUGAUUUGACAGGAAAGGAUCUAGGGGAAUAAACAUCCUUUCUGUCUUGUAGUUUCCUGUUUGUGUCUCUUUUUGCCUGAGCACAACUAGAAACUAGAGGUCAAUGGUGCCCCAUUGAUGCAAUCUAGACAGGUUGACAGGCCAAAGGGUGGCGAGUGAAUCUGGAGAGCAAAUGUAAGAUAGCCAGCCACCUGGGAACACAGAUGAGAUUUGUUUGUAGUAAUUUCCAAAAUUUUUUGCCUCUGUCUCCAUUGCCAUACCUGUUCCUGCAUGGCUUGCAGAUGCUAGAGUUUUUCUGCUGCUUCCUUAUAUCUUGGAACCCCCAGCCAGGUUAUCAGGUCUAGUUUCUGGGCCUGCCUGCUAUCAUUCAUCAUUUCUUUAUCAAAACCUGUUCUUAAGAUUUUUGCUUCUGGCCAUGACAAAGCAACAGGAUCCAGAUUUACCCUCCCCCUGUAUCCCUUGGGAUUUGAAGCCAAAGAGGAUGACCCCGCAGGCCUGGAUGAAAAAUAUAGAGGUUGGCCUGGCCAACAUGGUGAAACCCUGUCUCUACCAAAACUAGAAAACAACAAAAUAAAUGUACUGACGGCUUCAGAUAUUGUACAACACACAGUGCAGAACUAUGACCCAUGAGAUAAAGAAAAUACAUGUGGUAAAUGAUCAUGACAGUUUCUGAUUGGAGGCACAUUCUGGACUUUACAGCAGGGGAAACAAUAUCCCAAGCACAGUAUGGUAGUCUUGUUAAGUUAAAAUACAGAAAUGAAGGUCAAGGAGACUGUAGUUGGAAACUGUGGGGCAGAAUUCUAGAAAAGAGGGGACCAUGUAAAAAAAGCUCCAGAAAUCUGCACAAGUGCCCUGUUGAGUGCUUAAUACUAAGAUGUUCAUACCCAGAGUGAAGCUUUGUAAGUCUGGGCAAAGAAUGACCAGAAGCUAUAAGCUGAAAAUUUCAGAGUUCACAUGGGAUUCUGAGAUGUAAAAAUAUCAACCAGCUUGAUCAGCUGGGGCAUUUAGUAGAGAUCCAAUGAGGUUCAUAUGCAGAUAGUAAGACUGAACUAUCCCUAGAAUAAAAGAAACGUUAGGUUCAUUCUAACAAAGCUAAAAACAAGCCUCUAAAGGAAUAAUCUUAUCCAUAAGUAACUGCCUGCUGGAUAAAAACUCAAUACUCCUUAAAGGAGGAUUUAAAAAUAUACAAACAUUCAACAAUGUAACCUUUAAAAUAUCCAACAUCUAAGCAAAAAUUACUAGACUCACCAGGUAGCAGAAAAAUGUGACCCAUAUCAGGAAAAAAGGCAAUUAAUAGAAACAUGCCUGAAAAUGACAGAGUUGAAAAGACAGAAUGAACAGACAGGCACGUUAAAACAGCUGUUUAAGUAGGCAAAAUAUACUCCAGGAUUUUAAGAAAAACAUACAUAAAAUGAGGAAAGAAUGCACUUCUUGUGGUGGAAAAGACAAUAUCUGAAAUGAAAGGUCAGUGGCUGAAAUUCAAAGCAAACUAGAUGCUACAAGGAGAAAAGUAAAACUGAAAACAGCAAUAGGAACUAUCCAAAAUGAAGCACCAAGAGGAAGAAGACUUCAAAAACAAAACAAAACAAAACAAAAAACCCAGAAAUGAACAAAGUCCCAUCAAUCCUUGAGCAAUAUCAAGUGGUCUAACAUAUGUAUAAUUGAAAAAGAAAAAAGAGGGAGAACAAAUUUUUGACAAAAAUCAAGGCUGAAAAUUUUCCAAAUUUGUUAAAAACUAUAAAUACCACAGAUCCAGGAAUCACAAUGAACCCCAAUCAAAAUAAGCAAGGGAAAUCACACCAUCAUACCAAAGUACAUCAUAAUAAAUUACUAAAAUUAGUAAUAAAGAGAAAAUCUUAAAAGUAGUCUGAAAAAAGCUGUAUUUUAUAGUGUCAUAGAGAGUAUAGGAAAUACUGCAGACUUCUGAUCAAAACAAUGCAAGCCAGAAGACAAUGGAAUACUUUCUUUGAUAUACUGAAUGAUACACAAAUCAAAUUCUGUAUCCAGCGAUAUAAUGAAGACUUUUUGAGAUAAAUGAAAGCUUAGACAAUUCACCAUCAGCAGAUCUACCCUAAAGAAAUGUUAACAUAAGUUUUUUACAAAGAAGGAAAAUAAUACUUGGAUCUACACAAAAGAAUGAAGAGCACCAGAAAUGGGAAACAUGAGGAUAAAUAUUAAAAUUUUUCAUUAAAAAUUUCUUUAAAAUAUUAAAGCAAAAAUAAUAAAGUACUGUAGAGUUCAUAACAUAUGCAGAAAUAAAAUUUAUAGCAGCAAUAGCACAAAGGACAAGAGCAUGUAGCUAAAAGUCAAUGGUCUAGAUAAAAUGAAAUAACAAAAAAGAACCCUCACUUCAAAAGAAGGCAAGGAAAGAUGCAAAAGGUAACAAAGAACAGAUGGAAUGAGUAGAAAACAAAUAGUAAGAUGACAUACCUAAACCAAACAUGUAUGUUACAUGUACUUGUAAUUAAAUGCAAAUGGUCCAAAUACCCCAAUUAAAGGUCAGGCACUAUCAGACUGGAUUUAAAAAGCAAGAAAUUCAUUUUAAAUAUAAAAACACAAAUAGUUUAAAAGUAAAAGAAUGAAAAAAGAUAUGCUGUGCAAUGCUUAUCACAAGAGAGCUGGAGUAGCUAUAUUAAUAAUAAAAAAAGAAGACUUUAGGACAAGGAAUAGCACCAGAGAUAAAGAGAGACAAUUUCAUAGUGACAAAAAGGAAAAUUUAAGCCAGGUGCAGUGGCUCACGCCUGUAAUCCCAGCACUUUGGGAGGCUGAGGCAGGCAGAUCAUGAGGUCAGGACAUCGAGACCAUCCUGGCUAACACAGUGAAACCCCAUCUCUAAUAAAAAUACAAAAAAUUAGCUGGGCGUUGUGGUGGACGCCUGUAGUCCCAGCUACUCGGGAGGCUGAAGCAGGAGAAUGGUGUGAACCCGGGAGGCAGAGCUUGCAGUGAGCAGAUAUCACGCCACUGCACUCCAGCCUGGGCGACAGAGCGAGACUCCGUCUCAAAAAAAAAAAAGAAAAAUUUAAGAAGAUUUAACAAUUCUAAAUGUUUCUGUACCUGCUAACAGAACUUCAUAAUAUAUGAAUCAAAAACUGACAAAAGUUAAAGAGGAAAUAGACAAAACCACAGUCAUAGUUUGAAUAUAUACAUUUCAUCAUUCCUCUCUCAAGAAUUAAUAAAACAAAUAGUCAGAAAAAUCAGUAAACCAGUAAGGAUACAGAUGAUCCCAGCACUUUGGGAGGCCAAGGCGGGUGGAUCACAAGGUCAAGAGAUCGAGACCAUCUUGGCCAACAUGGUGAAAUCCCAUCUCUACCAAAAAUACAAAAAUUAGCUGGGCCUGGUGGCAUGCAGCUGUAGUCCCAGCUACUUGGGAGGCUGAGGCAGGAGAAUCGCUUGAACCCAGGAGGCGGAGGUUGCAGUGAGCUGAGAUCAUGCCAGUGCACUCCAAGAAAGCUAGGUCAAUUGCUCAUAUGACUAGCAUUUCUACUCCUAGGUAUGUACCCAAGAGUAUUGAAAAUCCAUGUCCACACACACUGUAUAUGAAUGUUCAUAGCAGCAUUAUUCAUUUUAGCCAGAAAGUGGAAACAACUCAAAUGUGCAUCAACUGAUGAACAGAUAAACAAAAUGUGGUUUAUCCAUACCAUGGAAUAUUAUUCAGCUAUGAAAACAAAUGACAUUCCAAUACAUGCUACAACAUGGAUGAACCUUGAAAACACUAUGCUCACUGAAAGAAGCCAAACACAAAAGGUCACAUAUUGUAUAAUUCCAUUUAUAUGAAAUGUCCAGAAUAAGCAAAUCCAUAGAGAUGGAUAGUAGAAUAGUGGUUGCCAGAGGAAAGGGGAAGGAGGAAUGGGGAGUGACUGCCAAUGCAUAUGGAGACUCUUUUGGGGGUGAUGAAAAUAUUCGGAACUAGAUAAUGGUGAUAAUUGCACAAUUUUGUGAAUAUACUAAAAAUCAUGGAAUUGUACACUUUAAGAGGGUGAAUUUUAUGGUAUGUCAAUUAUAUCUCAAUUAAAAAAAUAAGUAUUUGGUAUAAAUGAUUUUAUGCCCCAGUGUUGAUAAUGGAUAAAGGCUUAAUGAGAGACUCUUCUCAGCAAUAUGGUUCAACUCAGACCAACUCCUCCCUACAAAGGCUACAGAAUCUAUUUUUUCAAAAAGUCCAGCUCUUAGGACCUUUGUUCUUAGCUGUGGUUGCUACCAGGCUGCCUCUGAGGCCUGAAAAAUCGUGUCAUAGGCAGUAGAGGUUGAAUUUUGUAUUUUAGUAUCUAUGCUUACUUUCCUGCAGUAUGAGUUCUUUAAAGUCUAUUGCUAACUUGCACUCAUAGGCUGAAUUGAAAGAAUAAAGGAUCACAGUGAGGCACUUUACAGUUUAUAAAAAAGCAUGUUCACAUUCACCACUCUUUUGAUUUUACGCAUUUAGAUUUAAAUUGGGCGUUCUGAAUGGCCACACAACAGCAGGCCCUAAACUCUAGCCCCAACCUCUCUGACUCCAAAAAUCGAGUCAUUCUUAAAACAACUAAAAUGUGCUUCUGAGCAAGUUAUGGAGAAAUGGGCUGCCACUCGCCCUCCCAAGAAUAUUAUGAAGGCUCUUAGCCAUUUAAGGAACAACUUCUGGCCAGGCAGGGUGGCUCACGCCUGUAAUCCCAGCACUUUGGGAGGUCAAGGCGGGUGGAUCACAAAGUCAGGAGAUCGAGACCAUCCUGGCUAACACGGUGAAACCCCAUCUCUACUAAAAAUACAAAAAAACUAGCCGGGUGUGGUGGUGGGCUCCUGUAGUCCCAGCUACUCAGGAAGCUGAGGCAGGAGAAUGGCAUGAACCUGGGAGGCAGAACUUGCAGUGAGCUGAGAUCGUGCCACUGCACUCCAGCCUGGGUGACAGAGUGAGACUCCAUCUCAAAAAAAAAAAAAGAAAAAAAGAACAACUUCCACUAACAAUCUUUUUUUUUUUGAGACAGAGUUUUGCUAUUGUUGCCCAGGCUGGAGUGCAAUGGUGUGAUCUUGGCUCACUGCAACCUCCACCUCCUGGGUUCAAGCAAUUCUCCUGUCUCAGCCUCCCAAGUAGCUGGGAUUACAGGCGUGAGUCACCAUGCCUGGCUAAUUGUUUUGUAUUAUUAGUAUAGACAGGGUUUCACCAUGUUGGGCAGGCUGGUCUUGAACUCCUGACCUCAGGUGAUCUGCCCACCUUGGCCUCCCAAAGUGCUGGGAUUACAGGCGUGAGCCACCACGCCUGGCCUCCACUAACAAUCUUAUAUUGGUCUGCAUUAUGCAGAAUGACCUGGACUAUUAGUCAUGGGGCAGGCCCAGAUGUUAAAUAGCUUGGUCCAGUAUGCUCACCUCAUUAACCAUGUGGUUUGUGGGUCCAUUUUCACUCCUGCAGGGACACACACACACAAACACACCUCUCUUUACAGCAAGAUAAAGAGUCACCUAUCUUUUCCCAGCAGUGCUCUGACCAGGGCUGAGUUCCCACUUGCAUUUCCUUCCUCCCUCUCUCCCUCCCCCUUCCUCCCUUCCCCUCUCCCUCCUUCCUUCCCUCCCUUCCUUCCUUCUUUCCUUUUUUCCUUCCUUUUUAUGGUCAAAUAUACGUAACAUAAAAUUUAUCACUGUAACCAUUUUUAACUGUACUGUUUAGGGGUGUUAAGUACAUUCUCACUGAUGUCCAGCCAUCACCAUUAUCUAUCUCCACAACUUCUUCAUCUUGAAAAACAGAAACUUUGUAUCCAUAAAACAUUAACUCCCCGUUCCCCUCUCUCCACCCCAACCUCUGGUAAUCACCACUCUACUUUCUGUCUCUGUGAAUUUGACUCCUCUAGGUACCUCAUGUAAGUGGAAUCACACAAUAUUUGUCCUUUGGCCACUUGUAUUCCUUGAUGGCAAAGAGUCAUCUUGUUCCAGAGCUGGCCCAUAGGACCAGGUGUUUCAUGUGGUAGCCGGGAAGGAUAGCAAGAGGAAGGAUAGCAGAUUCUGGAGUGCAAACACAUCCCCAGACAGAAUCAGGAGGGCUCCCCUCAUCCUGUCGACAGCUGGAAAUUCUUUCUGCUCUUCUACAAGUUGAGUGUUACAAACAGGAGACUUUUCAAGCCCAGUCCCAAACACAGGAAUUCGUCCCUCGUCAGUCUGUCUCCUGGGCCCCAUUGAGACAGCUGGACUUCCCACGCAAGUGAAAGCAUUCAACUGGGAGUGCCUUUUCCUGGGUCAGCCUGUUCCAGCUUACCCUUGAAGGAGACCAUCAGCUCCUUAAGAGCAACAGCUAUUUUUCUGUCCCAAGUUGUGUAGAAUGCAGUGUAGAGCACUUUUAAAAUGUCCAUUUUGGCUAUUAGCAGCAAUCAAUGCAAUCUAUACCAGCUCAGGUUGGCAUGAUAAUUUUAUUUACUUAGCCAGUCCUUUGAAAUUCACAGCAAGGAUAUGAGCCUUAUGCAUGAUCCUCCCACUGGUUUUCGUACAGGUGAAUGAACCGAUUCCUUAUUGCUGAAAAAAAAAAAUCUUACACUGGACUUGGAGUCAGGCCACAGCUAGACUGGAAGCAAGGAGACUGGAAAGCAAACGUGGACCUGACAGGCUCUGUCAUGUCCCAGGCCUAAUCUGGUGGGAGUCCUGAGAACAGCCUGUGCUGUGUGUGCCCAGGUGCAAAGAAUAUGUAAACCUUUCUCAAGUGAAAAAGCUUAGCUUUUUCCAAAUUCCCAUUUGAGACUGCCUGUGCGACUGCACAGUGUGCACACUCAUGCAGAUAGGUGGAGUCCUAUUCAACUUCUACAAAACACACUAAUUUGUUGAUUUGUUUUAUUUCUAUAUGGUACCUUUCCUCCUAG